rnacentral:rRNA from 1 species
ACAUAGAACACUAUUGCGAAGGCAGGUCACUAACGGCGCAUUGACGCUGAGGGACGAAAGCGUGGGUAGCGAACAGGAUUAGAUACCCUGGUAGUCCACGCCGUAAACGAUGGUUACUAGCUGUCCGGGGAACAUUGGUUUUCUGGGCGGCCAAGCGAAAGUGAUAAGUAACCCACCUGGGGAGUACGUUCGCAAGAAUGAAACUCAAAGGAAUUGACGGGGGCCCGCACAAGCGGUGGAGCAUGUGGUUUAAUUCGAUGAUACGCGAGGAACCUUACCAGGGCUUAAAUGCAUUCUGACAGGGGUGGAAACACCCUUUCCUUCGGGCAGAUUGCAAGGUGCUGCAUGGUUGUCGUCAGCUCGUGCCGUGAGGUGUCAGGUUAAGUCCUAUAACGAGCGCAACCCCUAUCGUUAGUUGCCAGCAAGUAAAGUUGGGGACUCUAGCGAGACUGCCGGUGCAAACCGCGAGGAAGGUGGGGAUGACGUCAAAUCAUCACGGCCCUUACGUCCUGGGCCACACACGUGCUACAAUGGUAGGGACAGUGGGCAGCCACUGCGCGAGCAGGAGCGAAUCCCCAAACCCUAUCACAGUUCGGAUCGCAGUCUGCAACUCGACUGCGUGAAGCUGGAAUCGCUAGUAAUCGCACAUCAGCCAUGGUGCGGUGAAUACGUUCCCGGGCCUUGCACACACCGCCCGUC